rnacentral:lncRNA from 1 species
CGCUCGCCUCGGGUACCCCGUGGGAACCCUGCUCCGUCCCUUCCCGAGCCAUCCCCUCUGUCACCUUUCCCUCCUCCGCUCCUAUCCCCCCCUCCCAACACUCUCUUUUUGUUUCGUGCGAGAGUGCGUGUCCCUCGGAGUCCCCGCCGUUUCCCCAGUUGGACACCGCCGUCCCUUCCUGUCCUAGGGGAGGCUGGCUGUGCUGAUGUGGGGGGAGCUGCCAGGACCCCCCGUCAGAGUACCCCCAGGUGUCAGCCUCAUCUACCUACUGCAUAUCUGCAUCUCGGGGGGAGGCCUCCCUUCCGACCCUUUUCCCACCUCCCUUCUCACCCACUCUUGCUGUCAUUCCCGUCUCUCUCAGCUGCUGUUGCAGCUUUGCCCCCCUUAGUCUGCCUGUCUCUCAUGAAGCCUCUUGAGAGGCUGAGGAGCUGCUGGGGUCCCCCAGGGCCGGCUCUGCUCCCGAAGGAGACUGUGCAGCAUGAAAUCCCCGCUGGGGAGUGUGUGUCUUCUGAGCAUUCUCCCCACCACCACCACUGGCACCAGAGGAACAAAGUGAGGAUAUAUCGGGCUCUGAAUCCUGCUGCUUUGGCUGCUCACCAGCUAUGGGCCCUGUCUCUCCCUCACCCUAUUGCCCUGCCUUACAGGCUGUCCCUGCACCUGGGGAGUGAUCACCUUGCUGAACCUGACUGCUUAUUUUACGUGGAGUACUUUGCACAUCCUCGAUGUGAAGGCACUACAGUUGCUGGAGUGGGGGGUUACAGGAGCAGCUCCAAGGCUGAAAGCUGAAACACAGUGUUAAAUGUUCUCCAAAGAUGGGUCUGUGCUAGGAAAAUGACCUGCAGCCAGUGGUGGAUGUCAGUCACGCUCAUCUCCCAGGGCAGUUUGAAAACAAUUUGUUACUGGUGCACAGUCAAGGCAAACUCUGUUAAUGCUUCUUCAGGAAAAUGGCCUGAUAGAGGACCUAUUCCAUAAGGAGUUUUUCUGAAGGAUGCAGUAGGAAAAGAGCUGGGCUUUGCUGAGGACAGGGUCAUCCUCCAAGUAUAGCCAUGGCACUGAACCCCUCUCCACUCUGAAAAUACAGCCAAGUUUGAAAUAGUUUUCAAACAUAGUUGUCAGUCUGCAGCCACACAGAUUAGCUACAAAUGUGUUACAUCUGUGUACAGAAACCAUGCACAAAUCCAGC